GCUGCACAUUUGCAAUGGCGCAAGCCCGAGUCGUCACUCCGUCGAGGAUGCUUCUAAGGUAGCGCUAAGUUCCUUGGAACAGGACGUCAUAGAGGGUGAGAAUCCCGUAUGUGACCGGCCCGCACCUUCUACGUAGCUCCUUCGACGAGUCGAGUUGUUUGGGAAUGCAGCUCUAGAUGGGAGGUAAAUUUCUUCUAAAGCUAAAUACCGGCCAGAGACCGAUAGCGCACAAGUAGAGUGAUCGAAAGAUGAAAAGCACUUUGGAAAGAGAGUUAAAAAGCACGUGAAAUUGUUGAAAGGGAAGCGCUUACAACCAGACUUCUGGGCGGUGUUCCGCCGGUCUUUUGACCGGUCUACUCGCCGUCCCGAGGCCAACAUCAUCUGGGACCGCUGGAUAAGACCUUAGGAAUGUAGCUUCCCUCGGGAAGUGUUAUAGCCUCUGGUGAUGCAGCGCGUCUCGGGUGAGGUCCGCGCUUCGGCAAGGAUGUUGGCGUAAUGGUUGUCAGCGGCCCGUCUUGAAACACGGACCAAGGAGUCUAACAUCUAUGCGAGUGUUCGGGUGUCAAACCCCUACGCGUAAUGAAAGUGAACGGAGGUGGGAAGCGUAAGCUGCACCAUCGACCGAUCCUGAUGUCCUCGGAUGGAUUUGAGUAAGAGCAUAGCUGUUGGGCCCCGAAAGAUGGUGAGCUACGCCCGAAUAGGGUGAAGCCAGAGGAACCUCUGGUGGAGGCUCGCAGCGGCUCUUACGUGCAAAUCGAUCGUCACU
rnacentral:rRNA from 1 species